AUGAGGCGAAUCCGUGCUGCCUUACGAAGAUGGAAGAGAAACAGGGCCAGCUUGGAUCUGCUCAUUUCCAAUAAUAAGAAGGUGGUGCUCUACCUUGAUGCUAUCGAGGAACGACGAUCUUUAUCGCUGUUAGAAAGGGUUCUGAGAACUUUUGCUACAGACAAAGCAGAGCUGCUUAUACUGUGGCAAACUGCUUCGUGGAGACGGAGGGCCAAACUCCAUUGGUGUACUUCUGGCAAUGAAAACUGCAGUUUCUUCCACGCUGCUGCUAAUGGCCAUGCUAGACGGAACAAGGUCAGAGUACUCAUCAAAGACGGAGUUGAGUUUUUUGACAACAAUCACAAGCUUCAGUUGGCAACCGAGUACUACUCUGCUCUCCUGGGUCAGCCUUCCCCCUCUCUACCUACAGUUCAACUUGAUCAGCUCUAUGAGCACGUCGACUUAUCGUGCCUCGCGAGGGAGUUCACCUGGGAGGAAAUUGUCGAAGCUAUUAACCAUUCACCCAACAACCGUAGCCCUGGCCCGAAUGGCUUCACUAAUGAGUUAUAUAAAGCUUUCCACGGAGUUAUCAAAGCUGACUUGCAACUCUUCUUCUCCCAAUUCCACCAGAAUCAACUGGACCUGUCUGGCAUUAACUUGGCCCACAUCUCCCUUCUGCCCAAGAAGGAAACCCCGCUGGAACUCAAGGACUUCAGGCCAAUCUCUAUAAUACACAGCGUGCCCAAACUUGCAAGCAAAGUACUAACCAGGAGGCUUCAAGCUCAGAUCCCCAGC
rnacentral:rRNA from 1 species